CGAUUCUCGGCCGCGAGGAUACCUUGAAGGUGAUCGACCAGGGCUCCGACGACACCACCAAUGCGAUCUCGAUCCGCAAAUUCUUCGAGAAAACCGCGAACGUGACAACCACCACGGUGACAUCUGACGCGACUGUGANCGACACCGCAUCCCGGAAACCGCGCUGAAUGACAAUCAGGUGCUGGUCUAUCAGGUGCCGAUCCCGGAGCCAUUGCGGUUCCUUGAACCGCGCGAAACCGAGACGCGGCGCAUGCAUGCGC
rnacentral:misc_RNA from 1 species